rnacentral:lncRNA from 1 species
GAAUACCUCAGCGUCUUAUCUGCCGGGAGCCAUCUGUCUCACCCCCAGAGAGGUCUUCACCAACAGAUCAAUAAAGGAAACGCGUCAGCUGGGUGGCCGUGGUUGGGAAGAAGAGGUGAACAAGCUCGGCACGGUCUGUGGAGGUGUCGACCUCGCUCCCCACGGCCUUCUCUGUUUCAGACUUAACAAAAUGUCUUUCUUCUCAUCAUGGAUGAAAGCUAUUUUUGUCAUUGCCUUGCUGUUUCCUCUACAUUCUGAAACUGGUCUUUCACAUCCACUUUCAACGGGGAAUAAGAGACCACCAAACUGUGACAUAUAUAAAGAUGUUUUACAUUGCACCAAUAUGUGGAAUCCAGUCUGCGCAACCGAUGACAUCACUUAUCACAACAUAUGCACUUUCUGCCAGCAAAAAUUAAAGUCUGGUGGAAAAUUGGAUUUUCUGUUUUUCGGUCAAUGUUCUUAGCUCAGAGCUACACCUUCUUAUGCCUUUUCUUGCAAUGCUAUUUUGCAGUGGAUUCUACAAGCAAUUAGAGUCUUCUCAGUCAGAGCUUUAAAUUUGCAGAUGACCACACAAAGCCUGCUGUGGCAUACAAGAUGAAAUGUAGGAUGUUGAAGAAUUUUUCUAAUCUGUGAUUCAAAGAUUUUUAUCCUCUAUGUUGAAUUAUCAGUGGCAGUUGAAAAACCGUCUUAAUUGUAGUUGAUAAUAUAAAGCCUAUGUAACUUAAAAUCAUAAA